GCUCGGGGAAGGAGGGAGGUGCCGCGGCUUGGAGGCUCCGGUCGUUCUCGCGGUGGGUCGGGCCUUGACUCUUCCCGCGUGCGAAGUCGAGGCUCAACCGGAACCGGGGGCGACGCACGGAGCGGCUGAUGCAGUCAUGGCAGACUACUGGAAGUCACAACCAAAGAAAUUCUGCGAUUACUGCAAGUGCUGGAUAGCAGACAAUAGGCCUAGUGUUGAAUUUCAUGAAAGAGGAAAGAAUCAUAAGGAAAAUGUGGCAAAGAGAAUCAGUGAGAUUAAACAGAAAAGCCUGGAUAAAGCAAAGGAAGAAGAAAAGGCAUCAAAGGAGUUUGCUGCAAUGGAGGCAGCUGCCCUGAAAGCAUACCAAGAAGAUUUGAAAAGGCUUGGCUUGGAGUCAGAAAUUUCAGAGCCAAGCAUAUCACCAGUAGCCAGCACUGUCCCACCUCCCAGUGCAUCAAAACAGCAGAAGGAAAAAAAGAAAAAGAAAAAAGAUCCUUCAAAGGGCAGGUGGAUAGAAGGCAUAACCUCUGAGGGUUACCAUUACUAUUAUGAUCUCAUCACAGGAGCAUCUCAGUGGGAGAAACCUGAAGGAUUUCAAGGAAACUUAAAAAAGGCAGCAGUGAAGACUGUUUGGGUAGAGGGUCUCAGUAAAGAUGGCUAUACCUAUUAUUAUAAUACAGAAACAGGAGUACACAAGUGCCAGAUGAUAUUCAUGCAAAUCUUCACAGUAUGAUUUCACUUUGUGAGGAUUCCAGGAAAUGUGUCUUCAUGAUAAAUGAAUUCUGGGAAAUCUGAUGUGUACUUACUAUCACAUAUGUUUACUGAAAUUGCCAUCAGAAUCCAGAUGGGAAAAGCCUGAUGAUUUCAUUCCACACACUGGUAAUCUGCUUUCUAGUAAAGCCAGUGAAAAGUCACUUGGCACCCUGGAGGAGUCCAAAUCAUCAGAUGUGCACAGUGAUUCUGAUGGGGAAAAGGAAGCAGAAAAAAGAGAGGUC